rnacentral:lncRNA from 1 species
UAAUAAAUUUUUUAUUUGGAUUUACACUUUGUAAUUGAAUAUAUAAGUAGUAUUUGAGAGAAAUAUUGCACUCUUUUAUCUUGUUAAUUAUAUUUUAUUUUUUAUUUUAUCUUGAAUGAAAAUUUUCGUUUUAUGAAAAAGAUAUAUAUAAUUAUGGCUUAAUAAUUGUCAUUUUCAAGAAAUUUGACACUUUAUUUAAUAUGCAAUGAAAUUUAAUUUUCAAAAAAAAAGAAUACAAUACACAUCUAAAUGGUGCAACAUUCUCACAUAAUAGUGUAACGUUUACACAAAUGGUGUAAAUAUAUAUACAAAUAGUGUAAAAUAUGCCCCGUUUGUACAUAUAUUGUAUAAUUUUAUAGUAUGUUGUAAUAUAUUAUAUUAUUUUCGUGUAAUAUACUAAACUGCACGUAAUUUAGUGUAAAAAUCAUGCAAAAUAUGUAUUAACAAUGCAUAUGUUGCACUACUUAUACAUAUAUUGUACUAUUUGGAAGAGUAUGUUGUACUAUUUGAGAGUAUGUUGUACUCUUUCAUUUUAUUAACUAUACUUUAUUUUUUUAUUUUGUCUUAAAUGAGAAUUCUCGUUUCACAAGAAAUAUACAUAUAAUUAUGGCUUAGAUUGUCAUUUUCAAAAAAAUUUACACUUAAUGGCUUAGCAGUUGUAUUUUUUUAUGUAUUUAAAGUAUAUAAUUUUUAUGCAUUUUAAAAGAAUAGUAGUUUGAUCAUUUUUUUGAAAAUUCGGAUCGAAUCUGCAAAAUCUAAAAAGACGGUCUACUUUUAUAAAAGCUCAAAACUAAUAGAUUUUUGGGAUAAUUUCAUAGAUGCCCUUAUGGGAACCAUUAAUUUCAUCAAUACCCUUCUAAAAUUGAUAAUAUCAUAAAUACCCUCCAAUAUAUAAAAAAUUAUCAUACAUACCCUCCACUAGUUAAAGUCUGUUAGUGCACAUAUGAAAUGGGGUUAAAUUUUUAAAAUGCCAUUUUUACCCUUUAUCUCUUAUCAAUAGUUAAAUUACUAAUAGGUAUUUCAAUAAAUGUAAAUUUGACUAAUUUAAUAUAUUAAAUAUUAAACUAAAUUAUUAAUAUAUAUUAUUUAUUAAAAAUAUAUAAAAAAAUGUAUUUUAUAUAUAAUAUGUUUUUAUAUAAUUUUGGUUUUGUUUUUGACUUCGGAUUUCGGUUCAAGUUCCGUUUGGAUAUAGAUCAAAAUCAUAACUGAAUUAAAAUAUAAUAAGACUUCUUUUUUUGCACCUAUAACUGAAACUAUCUCUAUUCAGCAUCAAUUAAGUUCAUCCAUUCAAAAUUGAGUUCAGAUAUACCUAUAUCAAUUCACAUUUCUAAUCAGUAAUAGUAAUUUUGAAAUAAAUGGUAGAUUUAAUUUUUUUCUAUUUAAGCAAAAAUAAAUCACAAAACUAUAUGCAUGCAUUUUUUUUGUUGAUUGAAAAAAAAGAGAGAGAGUUUUGUUCAAAAGCUAAAAUAUAUUAUAUUUUAGUUUUUUAAUGCAUUUAAUACAGAUAAAAUUAUCAUGAAUAAUUUUGGUUAAAAUAUUUUGGAAGCUUCCAAGAUUAAAGAAAGAUCGAAAAAAAUCCUCAACUUUGUUUUUUAUUUAAAUUUUUAUACAUAGUUAUUUAUUUGCUAAAAAUAUAAAUAGCGCCAUUAAAUUUAGUGAAAUCAUCAAAAAAAACUUGACAAAAUUCUCAUUUUCCAAGUACUAAAAUUAGUUAAUAUUUUAAAAACUAAAAAUUAAUGGGAUGUCAACUAAAAUAUAAAAGUUGAGGAAGCUGUUUUAAAACGACAUAUAGUUGAGGGGGUCUCCAUACAUUUUUACUUAAGGGAGCUGAGGGUAAACUGGUCAUAUUAAAAGUUAACCCAUCUUUAACCAUUUAAUAACUAUGGAAAAGUUAGAACAACUAACAGUAGGGAUAUUGAUGUUAAUUUUCGAUGUUUACAGAGGUAUAUGUGAUAUUUUAAACUUUAGAAGGGCAUGCAUGAUAUUUUAAGCUUUGGAAGGGAUAUCUAUGAAAUU